rnacentral:rRNA from 1 species
CACCGCGGUUAUACGAGAGACCCUAGUUGAUAUACUCGGCGUAAAGAGUGGUUAUGGAAAACAAGCACUAAAGCCAAAGAGCCCUCAGGCCGUUAUACGCACCCGGGGCCUCGAACCACUAUCACGAAAGUAGCUUUACCCUCGCCCACCAGAACCCACGAGAGCUGGGACA